UAUACUCCAGCAGCAGCAUCUCUGUAGCAGUACUUUUGUAGCACUGUUACCUGUGGAUCUCUCUUUUCCAAGUCCAGUUUCCUGAGCCAGCAUGCCUUGAGAGAAACCUACCAAACCUUGGAACAGGAAGAUCACAAGUUUCAUGAGGGCAUGACUGCAUGGANUUGAGGGAAGCGACUUGGCCUUUGACACAACUCCUCAUUAGGGGUUGAUUUUUCUUCCUCAAGGGCCUGGUGAAAAUAGUGCCAAAGUUAUCUGCUUUUAGCCACUAAUAAAUGAAUUGCUGUUCAAGAU
rnacentral:lncRNA from 1 species